rnacentral:rRNA from 1 species
CGCUAGCGACAGGCUUAACACAUGCAAGUCGAGGGGCAGCGGGGGUGAUGGCUUGCCAUCACCUGCCGGCGACCGGCGCACGGGUGAGUAACACGUAUGCAACCUGCCCGCCACAGGGGGAUAAGCGGAAGAAAUUCCGUCUAAUACCGCGUGACGCGGCGCCGGGGCAUCCCGGUGCCGCCAAAGGGAUUACCGGUGGCGGAUGGGCAUGCGGCGCAUUAGCUAGUCGGCGGGGUAACGGCCCACCGAGGCGACGAUGCGUAGGGGUUCUGAGAGGAAGGUCCCCCACACUGGUACUGAGACACGGACCAGACUCCUACGGGAGGCAGCAGUGAGGAAUAUUGGUCAAUGGGCGCGAGCCUGAACCAGCCAAGUCGCGUGAGGGAUGACGGUCCUACGGAUUGUAAACCUCUUUUGCCGGGGAGCAAGCGUGCGUUCGUGAACGCGCGUCGAGAGUACCCGGAGAAAAAGCAUCGGCUAACUCCGUGCCAGCAGCCGCGGUAAUACGGAGGAUGCGAGCGUUAUCCGGAUUUAUUGGGUUUAAAGGGUGCGUAGGCGGGAUGCCAAGUCAGCGGUAAAAAUGCGGUGCUCAACGCCGUCGAGCCGUUGAAACUGGCGUUCUUGAGUGGGCGAGAAGUAUGCGGAAUGCGUGGUGUAGCGGUGAAAUGCAUAGAUAUCACGCAGAACUCCGAUUGCGAAGGCAGCAUACCGGCGCCCUACUGACGCUGAGGCACGAAAGCGUGGGUAUCGAACAGGAUUAGAUACCCUGGUAGUCCACGCAGUAAACGAUGAAUGCUAACUGUCCGGCUCGAAUGAGCGCUGGGCGGUACAGCGAAAGCGUUAAGCAUUCCACCUGGGGAGUACGCCGGCAACGGUGAACUCAAAAGGAAUUGACGGGGGGCCGCACAAGCGGAGGAACAUGUGGUUUAAUUCGAUGAUACGCGAGGAACCUUACCCGGGCUCAAACGCAGGAUGACGGGUCCCGAAAGGGGUCUUUCUUCGGACAUUCUGCGAGGUGCUGCAUGGUUGUCGUCAGCUCGUGCCGUGAGGUGUCGGCUUAAGUGCCAUAACGAGCGCAACCCCUGUCCACAGUUGCCAGCAGGUAAAGCUGGGGACUCUGUGGAGACUGCCGGCGCAAGCUGCGAGGAAGGCGGGGAUGACGUCAAAUCAGCACGGCCCUUACGUCCGGGGCGACACACGUGUUACAAUGGCAGGUACAGCGGGAUGCCACGGGGCGACCCGGCGCUGAACCCGAAAACCUGUCUCAGUUCGGAUUGGAGUCUGCAACCCGACUCCAUGAAGCUGGAUUCGCUAGUAAUCGCGCAUCAGCCACGGCGCGGUGAAUACGUUCCCGGGCCUUGUACACACCGCCCGUCAAGCCAUGGAAGCCGGGGGUACCUGAAGUGCGUGACC